rnacentral:sRNA from 1 species
UGAGCAUUAGUCUGGGAUUACUAUCAUAGUAGUUCCUGAACCCAAAAACCGGUCUUCCAAGGAUUGAUCUUAGCUGCCGGGGGAUUUUUGCGGGUGACUUGAGCGUGCACAUGGAGACAUGACACAAAGCUAAACACGAUUGAACAGAACAGGUUUAUUUCAUUUAGUUAACAACGCUGAUGGCUAUUAAUACUAUGUACGCUGCGUAUGUACUAGGCACAUUUCACAUACAGUAGUCAGCUUUAGGGGUAGUAAAUAUGUUCUUCCGCAAACAGUUCCAACAUUACGAGAACGGCUAGACAGAGCUAACUAUACGUGUGCUGUGCGGCAGUCCUGCACAUACUCGUACAUGCAUAUUGAUGUACAGUGCACGUUUUCGUCUGAGACCACCUAUUUUUAUAUCACUUCCUUUCACCCAACAUAAUGCUUGCCGCUUACGGAAUUCUCGCUGCGCGCCACACAAUGUUCACGGGAUUGGGACUGGCUAAGCCAGCAAUGAUCUCUCGGUUGGAUCAUCGGAGUUGGCUGUCAAUUCAGAGGGCGAAGAAAGUAUGCAGUUCCCUGCAAACGGUCCUUUGUACGUGUGUAUGACAUGGGUGUCUGUCAAGCAUCUGAAUCCAGUGCUUCUAACUAUAUCCCCGAACCACGUCAAGCACGAGCCAAACAUUGAGCGGGGUAGAUAGUGCUGAGUCGGUGGACCCGGCUCAUUGCAAGGGACUUCUAGCUAUUCUUGCAGAGUCAGCCACUAUGAGCUUCCCGAGAGAACGACUUGUGCCCGAUUUUUUUCGCUUUUUGUUUCUUCUCUUCUUCUCCCAACGACACACACUCGUCAGUCUUAGGCAGACGCUUUGAUACCCUACGGCUUGACGUUCAUAUCCUGCGAAUUCUACAAAAAACCUAUCUUAUCCAAGCAUAUCCUAUCUGCGAACGUCGUGGGGAACGAAGCAUCUAGCAUCCUAUUUCCAAUUCAGAGCACUCCGUUGAGCUCCUUCAAUCGAAGUUUUGACUCGAGGAAAUUCCUUCUGAUACCAGUUUUCUCCUCUGCCAUAUAUAUUAAGAUACAUGAAUUGAUAUUUUUAUCCGCCUAUCUGUUUUACUUAUUCUCGUUCGCACCCACUACCGCUCUCUACA